UUGGGUUAAGAACUUUGCUUCAGGAUGAGAACAGAAAUCGUGCGGCAGCAGCGGGAGGCCCCAUUAGCUAAAGUGGUACCUCAGGUUAAGAACAGUUUCAGGUUAAGAACGGACCUCCAGAACAAAUUAAGUUCUUAACCCGAGGUACCACUGUAGAUCUGGAAUGUCACAGCUUGAUCCCAAAGUUCCCCACCCCUGGUUCAUUUUACUGAAAAUGUAUUCCUCCUCCUCUGCCAACCAUCAAAAUGGAUGUUUAAGGUGGUUAAGCAAAUCAGAGCCCUAGCAUUAUCUGGGAUAAUUAAAUUAAUUGGUAUGAUUACAGGUACUCGCUGUUACUAUAGCCUCACCCUUGCCUGCUGGCCGGAUGGCAAUUGUGUUACAGAGCUGCAGAAUCAGUCUUGCGGUUCAAGCGUGUUGCAUACAGACUAAACCUUGACAGUCUAUUGUUUUACAAAGCCAAACUGAUUUGUCAGAUUAGUAUCGUAUUAUGGAGCCGCAGGACCUAAAGGUGUCUCGCAUUGUGGCAUCUUAAGACCCAGCUUUUGGAUUGACUGUUUGUGGUGACAUUUUUGCUGGCCAGGUUAAAAUUGAGUGUAAGGGAAUAUGGACCAAUUAAUCCCCUCACCCAGAAGACCAAAGUUAAGAAUGAGGCUCUUCUAAAAAAAAGCAGAAACUUGGUUUACACUUGAUGGUUUACCACUGCAAGGUGCAACACUUUGUUUCAAGCAGAUACAGAGAUACUGUAUUAAAUAUCUGAAUGCAACACUU